rnacentral:tRNA from 1 species
GGGGCUGUGGUCUAGCAAGGUAUGACGACUGUUUAAUGCGGCCUUAGUGCCGCUUAAGCCGUUAGGGGCUCCAGAUGCCAGAAGACGGGUUUACUGACCCAAUGGGGAUGAAGAUUAUCUGGAGCUUGGAGAAACCCGUAGGUCGCCGGUUCAAGUCCGGCCAGCCCCACCA